rnacentral:rRNA from 1 species
GGGGCAGCAUGAGUAGCAAUACUUGAUGGCGACCGGCAAACGGGUGCGGAACACGUACGCAACCUUCCUUUAAGUGGAGAAUAGCUCCCGGAAACGGGAAUUAAUACUCCGUAAUAUUAUGAAGUGGCAUCGCUUUAUAAUUAUAGAUUUAUCGCUUAAAGAUGGGCGUGCGCCUGAUUAGGUAGUUGGCGGGGUAACGGCCCACCAAGCCUUCGAUCAGUAACUGGUGUGAGAGCACGACCAGUCACACGGGCACUGAGACACGGGCCCGACUCCUACGGGAGGCAGCAGUAAGGAAUAUUGGUCAAUGGACGCAAGUCUGAACCAGCCAUGCCGCGUGGAGGAUGAAGGUCCUCUGGAUUGUAAACUUCUUUUAUUUGGGAAGAAAUGCAUUUUUUCUAAAGUGCUUGACGGUACCAGAUGAAUAAGCACCGGCUAACUCCGUGCCAGCAGCCGCGGUAAUACGGAGGGUGCAAGCGUUAUCCGGAUUUACUGGGUUUAAAGGGUGCGCAGGCGGAUAUGUAAGUCAGUGGUGAAAUCUUUGGGCUUAACCCGAAAAUUGCCAUUGAUACUAUAUAUCUUGAAUGCUGUGGAGGUAAGCGGAAUAUGUCAUGUAGCGGUGAAAUGCUUAGAUAUGACAUAGAACACCUAUUGCGAAGGCAGCUUACUACGCAGAUAUUGACGCUCAUGCACGAAAGCGUGGGGAUCAAACAGGAUUAGAUACCCUGGUAGUCCACGCCCUAAACGAUGAUUACUCGACAUACGCGAUACACUGUGUGUGUCUGAGCGAAAGCAUUAAGUAAUCCACCUGGGAAGUACGAUCGCAAGAUUGAAACUC